AAUGAACGUUGGCGGCAUGGAUUAGGCAUGCAAGUCGAGCGAGAAGUGUAGCAAUACACGGAAAGCGGCGGAAGGGAGAGUAAUACGUGGGAAUCUGCCCUUAGACCUGGGAUAGCAGCGGGAAACUGGUGGUAAUACCAGAUAAUGUCUAUGGACCAAAGGUGCGAUUCCGUCUAGGGAUGAGCCCACGUCCUAUUAGCUAGUUGGUAGGGUAAUGGCCUACCAAGGCGAUGAUGGGUAGCGUGUGUGAGAGCAUGACCCGCCUCACUGGGACUGAGACACUGCCCAGACACCUACGGGUGGCUGCAGUCGAGAAUCUUCGGCAAUGGGCGCAAGCCUGACCGAGCGAUGCCGCGUGCGGGAUGAAGGCCUUCGGGUUGUAAACCGCUGUCGAGGGGGAGCAACUUCCAUAGAGUUAUCUUUAUGGAUUGAGUGAUCCCUGGAGGAAGGACGGGCUAAGUUCGUGCCAGCAGCCGCAGUAACAC
rnacentral:rRNA from 1 species